UCAACUGUGGAGCCUUUUUCCCUCACUAAGAUUGAUUUGGUGCACGAAACAACACAUACAUAGCAUUCCAUCAUUCAUAAAAUAUUCUCACGCUAUCUCUGUUUACUAGUUGAUUUCACGGCCAUUCAAAACACUGUUUGCUACAGCCAAGAGGACAUGAGAUUUCUUACAUCAUGAAUAACUAGUAUAAAAAGCAAAAACUGACCGUUAUAUAUGAUUAUGAAGGCAAGCUAAACUAGCAGUGUCAUCCGCCGCCGAACCGACUGAGAUCAUCUUCUUAGCAAAUUAGUGACACAGCAUGAACAACCCAAUCCAUCAGUAGCCAUGGAAAAGCCCAACAAAUCCAUUGAAGUUUUUCUUUUGACCUCAUCAGGUGCGUAUCUAUUUAUCACCUUCUUCCCGGUUCCCAGAGCAAGCAGUAAAGUGUUUCAAAUGGCCCCAUCCAGCUACUUCUUGUGAGUUGUGAUAAUCCCAAGUUUUGCAUGUGCAAACUGCAAGAUGAUCGUAGGUCCUCAAGCUCCCGCAACAGAAGAUGCUGAUGAACAGGAGAGGCAAGUUGAUGGACAUCCAUUUCAGGUCGGUGGUCAUGUAAUUUUUUACAGUUAGGAAAUACCCUUUUUUUUUUUUUUUUGAAAUCGAAUGUUAUAAUUAAAAGCGAUAGUCAGCUACAUGAAACCCUAAUCGAGCUCAUUUUUUAGCAUGCCAGCAACAUUGCGGCCUUGGGUUUUAGAACAUCAGAAAUUCAGAAUCAGCAAUGAAUCUCCUUUUAACAUGCACUC